CCUACGGGAGGCUGCAGUAGGGAAUCUUCCACAAUGGGCGAAAGCCUGAUGGUGCAACGCCGCGUGGGUGAAGAAGGUCUUCGGAUCGUAAAACCCUGUUGUUAGAGAAGAAAGUGUGUGAGAGUAACUGUUCACGUUUCGACGGUAUCUAACCAGACAGCCCCGGCUAACUACGUGCCAGCAGCCGCGGUAAUACGUAGGUGGCAAGCGUUAUCCGGAUUUAUUGGGCGUAAAGGGAACGCAGGCGGUCUUUUAAGUCUGAUGUGAAAGCCUUCGGCUUAACCGGAGUAGUGCAUUGGAAACUGGGAGACUUGAGUGCAGAAGAGGAGAGUGGAACUCCAUGUGUAGCGGUGAAAUGCGUAGAUAUAUGGAAGAACACCAGUGGCGAAAGCGGCUCUCUGGGCUGUAACUGACGCUGAGGUUCGAAAGCGUGGGUAGCAAACAGGAUUAGAUACCCCGGUAGUC
rnacentral:rRNA from 1 species